AUUGAACGCUGGCGGCAGGCUUAACACAUGCAAGUCGAGCGGAGAUGAGGUGCUUGCACCUUAUCUUAGCGGCGGACGGGUGAGUAAUGCUUAGGAAUCUGCCUAUUAGUGGGGGACAACAUUCCGAAAGGAAUGCUAAUACCGCAUACGUCCUACGGGAGAAAGCAGGGGAUCUUCGGACCUUGCGCUAAUAGAUGAGCCUAAGUCGGAUUAGCUAGUUGGUGGGGUAAAGGCCUACCAAGGCGACGAUCUGUAGCGGGUCUGAGAGGAUGAUCCGCCACACUGGGAGUGAGACACGGCCCAGACUCCUACGGGAGGCAGCAGUGGGGAAUAUUGGACAAUGGGGGGAACCCUGAUCCAGCCAUGCCGCGUGUGUGAAGAAGGCCUUAUGGUUGUAAAGCCCUUUAAGCGAGGAGGAGGCUACUGAGACUAAUACUCUUGGAUAGUGGACGUUACUCGCAGAAUAAGCACCGGCUAACUCUGUGCCAGCCGCCGCGGUAA
rnacentral:rRNA from 1 species